rnacentral:rRNA from 1 species
GAUGAACGCUGGCGGCGUGCCUAAUACAUGCAAGUCGAGCGAACAGACGAGGAGCUUACUCCUCUGACGUUAGCGGCGGACGGGUGAGUAACACGUGGAUAACCUACCUAUAAGACUGGGAUAACUUCGGGAAACCGGAGCUAAUACCGGAUAACAUGUUGAACCGCAUGGUUCAACAGUGAAAGACGGUCUUGCUGUCACUUAUAGAUGGAUCCGCGUCGCAUUAGCUAGUUGGUAAGGUAACGGCUUACCAAGGCAACGAUGCGUAGCCGACCUGAGAAGGUGAUCGGCCACACUGGAACUGAGACACGGUCCAGACUCCUACGGGAGGCAGCAGUAGGGAAUCUUCCGCAAUGGGCGAAAGCCUGGCGGAGCAACGCCGCGUGAGUGAAGAAGGUCUUCGGAUCGUAAAACUCUGUUAUUAGGGAAGAACAAAUGUGUAAGUAACUAUGCACGUCUUGACGGUACCUAAUCAGAAAGCCACGGCUAACUACGUG